CUGACUGACCGAUAGUGAACCAGUACCGUGAGGGAAAGGCGAAAAGAACCCCGGCGAGGGGAGUGAAAAAGAACCUGAAACCGUGUACGUACAAGCAGUGGGAGCACGCUUCGGCGUGUGACUGCGUACCUUUUGUAUAAUGGGUCAGCGACUUAUAUUCUGUAGCAAGGUUAACCGAAUAGGGGAGCCGAAGGGAAACCGAGUCUUAACUGGGCGUUAAGUUGCAGGGUAUAGACCCGAAACCCGGUGAUCUAGCCAUGGGCAGGUUGAAGGUUGGGUAACACUAACUGGAGGACCGAACCGACUAAUGUUGAAAAAUUAGCGGAUGACUUGUGGCUGGGGGUGAAAGGCCAAUCAAACCGGGAGAUAGCUGGUUCUCCCCGAAAGCUAUUUAGGUAGCGCCUCGUGAAUUCAUCUCCGGGGGUAGAGCACUGUUUCGGCAAGGGGGUCAUCCCGACUUACCAACCCGAUGCAAACUGCGAAUACCGGAGAAUGUUAUCACGGGAGACACACGGCGGGUGCUAACGUCCGUCGUGAAGAGGGAAACAACCCAGACCGCCAGCUAAGGUCCCAAAGUCAUGGUUAAGUGGGAAACGAUGUGGGAAGGCCCAGACAGCCAGGAUGUUGGCUUAGAAGCAGCCAUCAUUUAAAGAAAGCGUAAUAGCUCACUGGUCGAGUCGGCCUGCGCGGAAGAUGUAACGGGGCUAAACCAUGCACCGAAGCUGCGGCAGCGACACUAUGUGUUGUUGGGUAGGGGAGCGUUCUGUAAGCCUGUGAAGGUGUACUGUGAGGUAUGCUGGAGGUAUCAGAAGUGCGAAUGCUGACAUAAGUAACGAUAAAGCGGGUGAAAAGCCCGCUCGCCGGAAGACCAAGGGUUCCUGUCCAACGUUAAUCGGGGCAGGGUGAGUCGACCCCUAAGGCGAGGCCGAAAGGCGUAGUCGAUGGGAAACAGGUUAAUAUUCCUGUACUUGGUGUUACUGCGAAGGGGGGACGGAGAAGGCUAUGUUGGCCGGGCGACGGUUGUCCCGGUUUAAGCGUGUAGGCUGGUUUUCCAGGCAAAUCCGGAAAAUCAAGGCUGAGGCGUGAUGACGAGGCACUACGGUGCUGAAGCAACAAAUGCCCUGCUUCCAGGAAAAGCCUCUAAGCAUCAGGUAACAUCAAAUCGUACCCCAAACCGACACAGGUGGUCAGGUAGAGAAUACCAAGGCGCUUGAGAGAACUCGGGUGAAGGAACUAGGCAAAAUGGUGCCGUAACUUCGGGAGAAGG
rnacentral:rRNA from 1 species